CAGAGACUCUGAUCUCCUGGGCAGUCCAAUGGAUAAGUUGUGGGAGUCAAAGGCUUUGGUUUAUCAUGCCUCUGCCAGUGAGUAUGUUGACUGUUGCUAAUAUCUCAUCCUUUGUAUAGUGUCACGAGAUCCUCAGGGUAUGUGUUAUUAGUAGCUUUGACUUUGCAAAAUCAUUUACAAAUCAGAAUGUGACCUAAAAACAUUUAUGUGAACCUGAAUUCUAUUUCUUCCCUUAGGAAACUGUAUGUAGUCUUUCUGUGCCUUCUUCUUUUCUCAGUUGCACUAUGACAUGAAAGAGGAAUAUCUCCAGAAUGAGACUGUCUCACACUUCCAACUGUUCGAGAAGUUCAUUCUUACACAAGGCUGGGGUAUAAUCCAAAAUUUAUUACAACCAGGAAGAAACUUUAUAUUGAAUGCAAUGGACUAUGUCUCAGUGUGCACCAUGUGGGUUCUGCAGUUUAGACUAGAGAUUGGGAACAACUGCUGAGAUCGCAUCUUAGUUCUGAUUCUGACUCUUUCUAGCCUUGCGCAAGCACAAAUGCCCUGUCUUCGUCUUUAGGUUAAUACUGAGGGCUAGAUGCAGCCACGGUGGCAAUAGGGAAUAGGGCUGCACAGAAGAACAGCCACCCCCACCCUUGUGUCAUGGAUUACAUGCUGCAGUGGAUGGUGCUAAUGGGAUGGCGAUAGAAGGAAAACAUUUUCUGCCAGGUCAGGAAGUCCUCCUGCAGGCAGAUGGAAUUUAAAGAUUAUCCAGAAAGACCAUACAAAACUGUCUGUAUCUGGCAGCGAUGUUGAUCAUGGUGGGAGAAGAAGAUCCUGUUUAUAUUUUUCUUGCUGCAAGGGCAUAAAUUAUGGAAUGCAUACGAACCAGACUUCAAUCUCUGUGCACUUCUUGCAGGAGGAAGCAUCUCCAAGUCACUGUUUAUUUUAGCAAAUCCUUUCCAGCACUAAGGUGGCUACUAGCUUUCCAUAUAAAACACUAUUUGACUUGGAAAGGUGGCUUGGCCUCAGAAUUGCCAGAAAUACUCAGAAAGCCAAGAAGACUGUUUCUCCAAACUUUGAAGAAAAGUGGUUAAAGUAGCUUUUGAGUAUCUGGGUUAGCUGGACAUUUUACAAAAUCUCACAGAGCAUCUAUUUGCAUCGUUAAAUGCCUAAAUACCUUCUCCAGACUGGCUUUAAAUCAACAGAUAGAUUUUGUUGCAAGCUUUUUCUUCAGAAUGAAACCUGCCAUGAAAAUUCUGGCACAUUCCUGAUUUUGUUCCAUUGGAUUCUUCACGUAACUGUGAGUCUAGUUUUAACAGGUGCUGUUAAAGCUUGUGCUGUUUUAUAAGGGACAUUUUGGUCAGCACCACUGAAAAUUCAUGACUCACCAAGAGUCUGUCAAUCUUUGACUUUAUUUUGCUAUGUGAUGGAAUGGAAGCUAAUCUCUUUAUCAGUGAGUGUACUCUGCAAAUGUAAAAUAAAACAAAAUGAAAAAGACA
rnacentral:lncRNA from 1 species